rnacentral:misc_RNA from 1 species
UUUACCACCUGAUAUACGUGCUGCAUAAAGUGAAUGUAUUAAUACCCAAUAAAAAUCAUGUAGUGAUGUCAAUCAGUCUUCAUAUAUAGAUUCUGCUGUUACCAAACUAUUGAUGGUGAAAAGUAGAAUGGAGGAUCAAAAGAACAAGCAUUUUUCUUAUAUGAUUUACAAAUAGAAAUGCACUUAUUCAGGAAAAAAUUGAACCAUAGUUAGUAUCCACUAAUAACCACACACAUAAGAAAAAUGGCAAAGUAUCUGUAGUAUGUUUCAUUAGUAUAAAAUUCAAAUUCCACCAACUUCAACUACAAACCAGCAAAGGUGGGAAAAGCAUCAUAGUCGUGAUACAACAACAUGCCUAUUCUUAAACCAGCGUUCUUUCAAUAAUAUGAGAUCAGCAUAUCCUAUUUUACAUAGCUUCGGCCUUCAGGAACACAGCAUGGGACUCGUGAAGUAUUUAAAAUAGAACUUCAUUCAUUACUUCCUUUUAUUGGCAAGGUCUGUUUGACAUGUG